CGAAAAGAGCAGCCACCCGAAAGGCUGGAGAAGUGGGCCCGAUAACAAACUCCCGAACGAGGGGAAAAGCAGUGAAAGAAAGAAGGCGAGGGCGGAGGCGGUCCUGACUAGUAACUGCCUUAGGAGGCAUCCAGGUGAGCACGCGGGCGGGAGCCAUUCUCACCGCUGGCUGCGGUAGUCUGCAGGGCUUGGGAUCCUGCGGGGCUGUGCCUGCUCCCUGCAGCCGCCGUGGUCGCGACUCCUCCGGGACUGGUGCCAGAAGGAACUGCGCCCACCGACCCCUUCUCUCGCCCUCCUCCGGCGCCGCGGAGAUGGACUCCAUUUCCUGAGGGGGCGGCAGUGGCCCGUCCCCGGGAUCGGCCUCGGCCACCGGCCACCUGGCGCCAGGAAGCUUCCAUCCCUGCAAAGGAGAAAAAAAAAAAAAAGAGUGGAAGGAGGUGAGCGCAGCGAGGACCGAGGCGAAGGAGGGUCAGUGCGGAAACCCGGUGUGAGGGGCCGAGUGAGGAAGGUUCCUGCAGGGCGGCGACCGGGUUUUAGGAGGUCGCGGCCCUGCCUUUACCGGAGGGCGAGUCCCCGCCAAGCCCGGGCUUUGGAGAUGGACCGAAGAGGGGAGGGAGGACUAGGUACAGAAAUAAACCGCGGAGCAAGAAGCACACAGUGCCGAAGACAGAAAGCCGGAGGAGAAGUCGAAACCGCCUCCUCAGCCUCUGCGGGAGCGUGGUAGGGGAAGAGUCACAGACUGACCCUGCGUCUCCCGCCGGGAACCAACUGCAGUGGUACACCCCACGGAAAGCUACGUCUCCUUACCGACUGCGCACGCCCCCAACAGACUACAACUCCCAGAAGCCCCCGCCCGCGUUCCGGCGACUGCGUGGCAGCACGGGCCGCUUCCUUAUCCGCAUCUCCACAGAGCACGAUGUUCUGUUUUUGCAGUAGAGGGCGCCGAAGAGGCACUGUGAGAAGGACCGUGGUCUCCCAGUGUUUCUGACUGCUACACAGAAUGUCUGCGAUCUUGCAGCCUCGGUCUGGACUGGCGAUAACAUUCCUGAGCAGUUUUCGUACGGGGAAACGGGCCCCAAAGCCCUCCGGCUCACCCCAGGUGCCCUAAACCACCACUCAUUUUGCUACUGACAUUUCCUCCCGCAAGUCCCAGCACCUGCCUCCACUCCCACCCAUUGCAGAUCCAGGCACAGCUCACCUGUAUCCCAGCCCCUAAUCUCUAUGUGCAAGUGCACCCUGAUCACUGAUUACUGUGUUCUACAUGCAUUCCAAAGAGUUACUUCCUACUUGCCCAGGACUG
rnacentral:lncRNA from 1 species